UGUUUACUGUUAAUUUUGGUUGUUUUUCACUUUAUAUAUUCACUUUGUAUGUUGUCUACCUCACUUGCUUUGGCAAUGUUAACACAUGUUUCCCAUGCCAAUAAAGCCCUUGAAUUGAAUUGAAUUGAAUAUGGCACAAGGGGGGGUUUUGGUUUAGAAAAAAAGGUGAGAGAAAAAAGUGUCUUGUUUGGUGACAAUGACCAGGAUCUAUUCUUUCCUAUGGCAAGAUAAAUGUAUAGCAAACACGGAGAAUAAUGGAUGCUCCAUUAAUUAAAUCAUGUAUAUAAUGUAUUAUUAGUUGUACAUUUAGCUCAUUUCUAACAGUAUUUUAGAUGUUUUUUCUCUCACACGUUCAUUCUUCAUUCAGGUUAACAGGUUAUAUCCGCCCCGGUGUUUCUCUCACAUCUUCAUUCAGGUUAACAGGUUAUAUCCGCCCGGUGUUUCUCUCACAUCUUCAUUCUGGUUAACAGGUUAUAUCCGCCCGGUGUUUCUCUCACAUCUUCAUUCUGGUUAACAGGUUAUAUCCGCCCGGUGUUUCUCUCACAUCUUCAUUCUGGUUAACAGGUUAUAUCCGCCCGGUGUUUCUCUCACAUCUUCAUUCAGGUUAACAGGUUAUAUCCGCCCCGGUGUUUCUCUCACAUCUUCAUUCUGGUUAACAGGUUAUAUCCGCCCGGUGUUUCUCUCACAUCUUCAUUCUGGUUAACAGGUUAUAUCCGCCCCGGUGUUUCUCUCACAUCUUCAUUCUGGUUAACAGGUUAUAUCCGCCCGGUGUUUCUCUCACAUCUUCAUUCUGGUUAACAGGUUAUAUCCGCCCGGUGUUUCUCUCACAUCUUCAUUCUGGUUAACAGGUUAUAUCCGCCCGGUGUUUCUCUCACAUCUUCAUUCUGGUUAACAGGUUAUAUCCGCCCGGUGUUUCUCUCACAUCUUCAUUCUGGUUAACAGGUUAUAUCCGCCCGGUGUUUCUCUCACAUCUUCAUUCUGGUUAACAGGUUAUAUCCGCCCGGUGUUUCUCUCACAUCUUCAUUCUGGUUAACAGGUUAUAUCCGCCCCGGUGUUUCUCUCACAUCUUCAUUCUGGUUAACAGGUUAUAUCCGCCCCGGUGUUUCUCUCACAUCUUCAUUCUGGUUAACAGGUUAUAUCCGCCCCGGUGUUUCUCUCACAUCUUCAUUCAGGUUAACAGGUUAUAUCCGCCCGGUGUUUCUCUCACAUCUUCAUUCUGGUUAACAGGUUAUAUCCGCCCGGUGUUUCUCUCACAUCUUCAUUCUGGUUAACAGGUUAUAUCCGCCCGGUGUUUCUCUCACAUCUUCAUUCUGGUUAACAGGUUAUAUCCGCCCGGUGUUUCUCUCACAUCUUCAUUCUGGUUAACAGGUUAUAUCCGCCCCGGUGUUUCUCUCACAUCUUCAUUCUGGUUAACAGGUUAUAUCCGCCCGGUGUUUCUCUCACAUCUUCAUUCUGGUUAACAGGUUAUAUCCGCCCCGGUGUUUCUCUCACAUCUUCAUUCAGGUUAACAGGUUAUAUCCGCCCGGUGUUUCUCUCACAUCUUCAUUCUGGUUAACAGGUUAUAUCCGCCCGGUGUUUCUCUCACAUCUUCAUUCUGGUUAACAGGUUAUAUCCGCCCGGUGUUUCUCUCACAUCUUCAUUCUGGUUAACAGGUUAUAUCCGCCCGGUGUUUCUCUCACAUCUUCAUUCUGGUUAACAGGUUAUAUCCGCCCGGUGUUUCUCUCACAUCUUCAUUCUGGUUAACAGGUUAUAUCCGCCCGGUGUUUCUCUCACAUCUUCAUUCUGGUUAACAGGUUAUAUCCGCCCCGGUGUUUCUCUCACAUCUUCAUUCUGGUUAACAGGUUAUAUCCGCCCCGGUGUUUCUCUCACAUCUUCAUUCUGGUUAACAGGUUAUAUCCGCCCCGGUGUUUCUCUCACAUCUUCAUUCUGGUUAACAGGUUAUAUCCGCCCCGGUGUUUCUCUCACAUCUUCAUUCUGGUUAACAGGUUAUAUCCGCCCGGUGUUUCUCUCCAUCAUCUCUAUCAUUCUAGAGGGUAAAUAAGAACAAGUGAAGCAUCUUCAAACCCAUGUUUAAACAUCAAAUAUCCGUCUAAAAUUAUCUUGAUUGUCAUAUGCCUAUUUAGCAGUAGUCCAAUAGUGUGUGAUGUUCAUUUUGUUCCAUCAAAUCAAAUCUAAUGUAUUUAUAAAGCCCUUCGUACA